AAUAUUGCACAAUGGGCGCAAGCCUGAUGCAGCCAUGCCGCGUGUAUGAAGAAGGCCUUCGGGUUGUAAAGUACUUUCAGCAGUGAGGAAGGUGGUAGUGUUAAUAGCACUAUCAUUUGACGUUAGCUGCAGAAGAAGCACCGGCUAACUCCGUGCCAGCAGCCGCGGUAAUACGGAGGGUGCGAGCGUUAAUCGGAAUUACUGGGCGUAAAGCGCAUGCAGGUGGUUUGUUAAGUCAGAUGUGAAAGCCCGGGGCUCAACCUCGGAAUUGCAUUUGAAACUGGCAGACUAGAGUACUGUAGAGGGGGUAGAAUUUCAGGUGUAGCGGUGAAAUGCGUAGAGAUCUGAAGGAAUACCGGUGGCGAAGGCGGCCCCCUGGACAGAUACUGACACUCAGAUGCGAAAGCGUGGGGAGCAAACAGGAUUAGAUACCCUGGUAG
rnacentral:rRNA from 1 species